rnacentral:rRNA from 1 species
UACGUAGGGCGCAAGCGUUGUCCGGAAUUAUUGGGCGUAAAGAGCUCGUAGGCGGUUUGUCGCGUCGGAUGUGAAAGCCCGGGGCUUAACCCCGGGUCUGCAUUCGAUACGGGCAGACUGGAGUGUGGUAGGGGAGAUCGGAAUUCCUGGUGUAGCGGUGAAAUGCGCAGAUAUCAGGAGGAACACCGGUGGCGAAGGCGGAUCUCUGGGCCAUUACUGACGCUGAGGAGCGAAAGCGUGGGGAGCGAACAGG